CCUCCUCUUCCUCUUCUUCCUCUUCCUCUCUUCCUCUUCUUCUGCUUCCUCUUCCUCUUCCUCUUCCUCUUCUUCUGCUUCCUCUUCCUCUUCUUUUUCUUCUUCUUCCACUUUCCUCUUCUUUAUUGAGAAUAACACAAUUGGCAUUUUGUAUCAGAAUUAUAGGGACCUGUUCUCUGUUUUCUCUAUUUUUAACGGGUUUUUGAGUGGGAGAGACGUAACAAUUUUGGACGGAAAGCAAAGAAUUUUGGUACAGUUUUAUGUAGACGCCGGGACAAAGAUACGAUGUUUGAACAAGGAGCGGCUUCUACAGUAGCAGCACUCUAAGAUAUGGAGAUGGUGAUGGUAAAGAGGGGGUAGAGAUGGACUCAAUAUCAUUAUCUUUCUUCGGUUUAUUGUAAACAGGUCUAGGGACAUUGCUUUGGUAAUCAACAUUUUGUAAUGUAGUGGUUGAGCUUGGUAAUUCUGAUGUUGAAAAUCUUGGUAAUGUUUGUGGUGAAGUUGGUUCUUUGUAAGGGGCAUAGAUAACAGAAGGUAUAUUCAAUACCCUUCCAAUAUCUAUGGUUGAAAUUGAAGAACUGUCAUCAGAAAAUCUAGAAGAAGUUGAUUUCCUGUUGAAUGUGAGCUUUACUUUCCCAUCUGAAAACUGGGUUAUGUUUCUGAGAUUGGUGUUUGGUUCUAUCUGUUUUGGUGAUUCAGGUUGGGUUGCUCCUUCAAAGAUCCAUUCUUCUGGAAAAGUGAUAUUUUUCUAUUGAAUAGUUUUUGGAAUUGUUGUGUUGGCUUUAGAAAUGUCUGUUUGGAGGAAUAAGGUUUCUCUUUUGGUGAGUGAAGUUUAUGUUUCGACCCAAAGGCAGAAAUCAUGGCUUUGUAAUGUAUUUUGAAAAUCAAAGCUAUCGGGAUAGAUCCUUCAAGCAUUUUGUAAUUAUGCAUUUUCAUCUGGAGAACAAUACUAUUUAAAACAUUUUUGUCAUUUAAAGAAAUUGUAAUAUUUGGAAAACAAUUGAAACUAAUAGAUCCUUUGUUAAGACUUGACUUGAUAGUGCCUAAUAAAGAAUCAUAA